rnacentral:misc_RNA from 1 species
GGGGUUGCAGGCUUUUUGUUGUUGUAAAGUCUGCUCCUCUUAAAUGCAUUAGUGUGAAUGUUACUAAAUGUUCCCCAGUGUGAUAAUUAUUUGCGCUGUUGGAGCCUCUGUAUAUGUUCAUGCUUACAACUGUCCUUUCAAUAGGAUAAUAUACUUUUGUGUUUGACCUCAAAUCAGGUAGGACUACCCGCUGAACUUAA